AGUUGGAGUGACAUUGCAAUGACAGGAAAAUGUGAACUAUGUGAGGGAGGGCAGAGGAGCUCUUCUCAAAGCUCCGGGCGUCUGAAAGGAGCACCUCCAAUCCACCCAGGGGAGGCCUGUGUCCUAUUGGACAGGAGCCCUUGUUCUGUGAUGAUUGCAGAAGGGAUGCUGAGACCACCCAGGAGAGCCCAGGACUUCUCAAAUUCAUCCCAGAGCACAAAAGCACAAACCCAAGCCAGCUUCCAGGUUCGCUGCCCACAUUGAUGUGUCCUGCCGGACGGGACAUUUGGCGCCCAACGUUGUGUGCCCGAGCCUUUGACUGAGAAGGAACGCCAUCCUCCGGGAAGACUUGGCCAAGCGGGAGCACGAGAUCGCCUCGGCAGACACCACCGAGAGACAGAUCCAGGAGGAGAGUGAGGACGACGAAAGGUGAGUGACCCACCAUGGGACAAGCAGUUUCGUCACAUGAUUUGUUUUUGUCAGGCCUCAAGGAGGCCCUCAAG